CAUUAAGUGGCUGAAUGAAAGCAAUGGUCUCUUAAACCAAUUUAUAGUAAAUAUCAAAUACUCUUAAUGA
rnacentral:tRNA from 1 species